rnacentral:rRNA from 1 species
UACGAAGGGGGCUAGCGUUGCUCGGAAUCACUGGGCGUAAAGCGCACGUAGGCGGAUUGUUAAGUCAGGGGUGAAAUCCUGGAGCCUCAACUCCAGAACUGCCUUUGAUACUGAAGAUCUUGAGUUCGGGAGAGGUGAGUGGAACUGCGAGUGUAGAGGUGAAAUUCGUAGAUAUUCGGCAAGAACACCAGUGGCGAAGGCGGCUCACUGGCCCGAUACUGACGCUGAGGCACGGAAAGCGUGGGGAGCAAACAGG